UACGUAGGGAGCGAGCGUUGUCCGGAUUCAUUGGGCGUAAAGAGCUCGUAGGCGGCUUGGCAAGUCGGGUGUGAAAACUCCAGGCUCAACCUGGAGACGCCACCCGAUACUGCCAUGGCUAGAGUCCGGUAGGGGACCACGGAAUUCCUGGUGUAGCGGUGAAAUGCGCAGAUAUCAGGAGGAACACCGGUGGCGAAGGCGGUGGUCUGGGCCGGAACUGACGCUGAGGAGCGAAAGCGUGGGGAGCGAACAG
rnacentral:rRNA from 1 species